rnacentral:rRNA from 1 species
UACGUAGGGUGCAAGCGUUGUCCGGAAUUAUUGGGCGUAAAGAGUUCGUAGGCGGUUUGUCGCGUCCGUUGUGAAAGCUUGGGGCUCGACCCCAAGUCUGCAGUGGGUACGGGCAGACUAGAGUCAGGUAGGGGAGAACGGAAUUCCUGGUGUAGCGGUGAAAUGCGCAGAUAUCAGGAGGAACACCCGUAGCGAAGGCGGCACUCUGGGCCGAUACUGACACUGAGGAGCGAAAGCGUGGGGAGCGAACAGG